CCAGGGCAGCUCCUCCGCAUCCAUAUACAAGAAUGACUCACCUGACAGGUACGCAAGAUAAAUCAAGAUGCAGCACUUCUGUGGCACUUGUUUUGAGGUUCUUCUUAAAGCAAAAGGUAAUUCAUCACAGUUACCCACUGGGGGACUGCAGGGGAGCCCCGCUUGAGAUAAAUGUAAAGGUGUUCAAAGUGCUUUCACAGACAAUCAAAAGAGACUGGGAAUGAGACAUCAUGGAAGCAGAACAAUCUUUGUAUAUCACUUUGUGUUCUGUGACUUUAUCUUUUUUUAGUAUGAGAAACUAAGUAGUUCAUGCUGGUUAGAUAAGACACAGCUUUUGUGCCUGUUUUCUGAAUCUGAACUGACAGCCUGGCAUACACUGAAUAUUGCAAAGAAAGGAGUUUGGAAAAAUGAUAUACAGUACAGGAUUGUGGGAUACUAUAGGUUCUUAAUGACAUCAAUCAUUUUUACAAAAAUAAGUCAUACUUCUCUUUAUCAGUUAAACUGAUCAUUUCACAAUGCACAAUGAGCUAAAUAAAAGAUAAAAAACAUAUAUACCAUCAAUGGCCUCCAGAUAACAUGGGCAAAGUAAGAUGUCAGUUCCUGUGUAGAAUUAUUAUGAGGAUUCAAAAUCGAAACCAUAGAAAGUGAAAUCCUUCUCGCUACUUUUAUAGUUAGGGAUUUUUUUAUCUCUUCAUCUCCCCACCCCAUCACAUGCUCUGAGGUUUUUGUGCAUGUCAGUUAACACAACCACUGCAAACGACAAGAAAGUGUCAGUUGCAAAAGUGGGGCAGGAAAAAAAGCUUUUGAAAAGGUAGAUGCUCCCUGCAGGUUUCUGUGGGCUUAGCUGUAAGGCACGGUAACAGGCAUCAGGAUCUGCAAGGUAGAGGGCCAAUGAAAAAGAUUUAAAUGAAGAGUUGUGCUAUUAUUUGGAAGGCUGUGCACUGAGCCAUUUUUCUUUACUGAACUCUAGUUCAACUGUUCACGUAAAUGCACAGUACUUUCAAAAACUGCUACAGACCAGAAAUGCAAAAAAAAUUUUUCACUUGACAAUGUAUUGUAAAAGUACUGUUAAGCUAAGUAAAACAAAUGACAAUUUUAUGAAAAUUAUUCACACCAGUCCAUAUUUAUAUCAUAGUAUGCUCUUUACUACAUAUAAAUCUGAAAAUGUUGAGUGUAACCGUAACCCUUUACCAGACUACAGGGAUAAAUUCAAGAUUUUAACCUACAUGCAUGAAAGUUCCAAAUGUAUACUGUACUACCAUAUUCAUACAGGCUUACAGCAUUAUUCUCAAUACUUUUACAGCAAUUAACAAAUCAUCAUCAACUAAGUGAUGAUGAAAUUCAGAAAAAAAAACUCAAUAGUUAGCUUUAUAGCUGCAUUAUUUUAGCCACUGAUGCCUCUUUGCAAUUAGUACAUCACUGUUUGCAUCAUAUACUGUAUACAGUACAAAGAGCAGAAAACUUGCUUUGGAUUCUCUCAUAGCAUGUUUACUUACAUAUGCAACAAAACCUGACACGGCUGCUAUAAGGUAAUCCCUUAAACCUUUAAAAUGCUAAUCAAAUUUCAAAUGUACAAAAUAAGCGUAUCUUUGUGUUUGCAAAAUCUGAAUGCUACAGUAGAACACAAAUGGUAAUGUAUGAUAAAAUCACCAGAUCCUGUUUCCAGGAGCCCUGUCCAGUGAUAUACAGUAUAAGGUAAAGUGAGUGCAAAAAGUCUUUAAACCUAAAGUUGGUACUUUUUGUAAGUAAAAGACAGCUAGACACCAGCAUCAUACUUUAAGCCUUCUUUGUAUCAAUCUGCCUGUAAACAAAAGAUAUUUAUGGAAUCUACCACAUCUGUAUUUCUCCCUACUCAUUUAUCCAUGAUCCAUCCAUCCAUGUACAGACCUUUUUCCUUUAUUACUGCAAUGAAUCAGUGCUACUUCAUUUUCAAAAAACAGCUAGAUGUCAUUACAGAGGAGUAAACAGACCGCAGUGCGUCUGGACUAAGGCUAUCUUGGAGAAACUGACAAGGCACAAAUGAACAUGACACUAUUCGUUUUAUUAACCACCAACAGAAACAUGAUCGUGUGUGAUAGACAGCCAUUUUGUUUUGUUUUCUUUAUCAAAAUUCAUGAAGUCUGAACUCACAACCAAAAAACAAUCUUUAAAGACUAUCUAGGGAAAUCAUUAUUUACUGAACUGCUGUGCAUAUUGUCU